rnacentral:rRNA from 1 species
AGCGGUGAAAUGCGUAGAUAUAUGGAGGAACACCAGUGGCGAAGGCGACUUUCUGGCCUGAAACUGACGCUGAGGCGCGAAAGCGUGGGGAGCAAACAGGAUUAGAUACCCUGGUAGUCCACGCCGUAAACGAUGAGUGCUAGGUGUUAGGGGUUUCGAUGCCCUUAGUGCCGCAGUUAACACAUUAAGCACUCCGCCUGGGGAGUACGGCCGCAAGGCUGAAACUCAAAGGAAUUGACGGGGGCCCGCACAAGCAGUGGAGCAUGUGGUUUAAUUCGAAGCAACGCGAAGAACCUUACCAGGGCUUGACAUCCCGCUGACCGGUAUAGAGAUAUGCCAUUACCUUCGGGUACAGCGGAGACAGGUGGUGCAUGGUUGUCGUCAGCUCGUGUCGUGAGAUGUUGGGUUAAGUCCCGCAACGAGCGCAACCCU